rnacentral:misc_RNA from 1 species
UGGCUCUGGCAUCGAUGAAGAACGCAGCGAAAUGCGAUAAGUAAUGUGAAUUGCAGAAUUUAGUGAAUCAUCGAAUCUUUGAACGCACAUUGCGCCCGCUAGUAUUCUGGCGGGCAUGCCUGUUCGAGCGUCAUUUCAACCCUCAGGCCCUUCUGGCGCCUGGCGUUGGGGAUCGGCCGUACGUGCCGGCCCCGAAAUACAGUGGCGGUCCCGUCUCGGAACUCUGCGUAGUAAAUCAAACCUCGCAGCUGGGAAGCGACGGAGGCCACGCCGUGAAACACCCCACUUCUGAAAGUUGACCUCGGAUCAGGUAGGAAUACCCGCUGA